GUCUAUAAGAGCAGAUCGCCGGGACAGCCCGCUGAAUUUCAUGACGGCCGUGAGGUGCAGGAGCGAGAAGCGAGAUUGAAAGAUAAAUCAAAAUUCGAACUACUUCUGCCGAAAAUUACGCACCAGUGCUGACCAUGAGGUUAGUUUUGAUCAAGUCUUAACCUAAAGACAUCUCAGCUGGGCCGAAGAAGACCAAGAGGUAAGUUGUCCUUUUCAUUGUGCCAUUUGUUUUUGUCCUAUGCACAUUUUGAUUACAGCAGCGGUCUUGAUCCACGUGUGGCAAUACAUUACAACAAGGAUGAGCUUGUUAAAUCGGCGUACGGUCACUCUUUUUCCCGUCAGCGAAUUUCCCUCUGCGUGCCAUGUCGUGAAUCUACGGUAGAUUACGGCGGCUGGAAGUUACUGCAGUGUGAGUCACUUUGGCGCACAUGGGCAGUGACAACUGUAGAAAAGGAUGGAAUGUCUUGUAGGGUGUAGGCUGCGCCGACUGCAUGUUAACCAGGCUGCAUCCCCGCAGAAAGUCAAUAGCGAAUCACGACAUGCGGAUGAUAUAUAUGAAUAUUUUUCAAGGGUAUCAGCCGUUGUGGGACGUGUCCUGUCGGGCUGCUUCUAUGACUCAUUAAUACCUAACACACAGCCAAGAGUGCUUGUAAGAGUUAAGCUGAACCAAAACAUAAAACACACAGAAUCAACCGUAAGGUAUCCGUUAGUGUUACGGUGGAGAGACCUACUUUAAAUAAAGUGACCUAUUAUUAUAGCUUCGGCGGGCAGAUCGCCUCUCCCUGGUUCGGCAGUUGUUUUUCCCCUUUUUUUUCAUGUUGAAAUGACAUCGUGACGCGUUGUUGAGAUGAAGUCAAUUUUGCGUCAUUCCUGCGCACAUGCAGACGUCUCCCGAUCACCCGUCAGAUGGCUUUAAAGACACAGCGCGAGUCGCCUAUAUACGUCUACAGCCUGCAUUGCAAUGUGUCUCUAUAGGUGGAGAAGAUGAGGGAGGUGAGGGGGUGGGAAGCCCAGGGGGCCUGAUGAAAACUCCCCAGUGUAACUCCUGGAGGGGGCUAUGACCAGAAUUACAAUGAGCGUGGUUCAAUAACCUCUCCAGCUGUCUCGUGUCCAGCUGCGCAGGGUACAUUCACCGCGGAAACAACAUGGGGCAUAAAAAAAGAUCAGCGAUACACUUUUGAAGAUCUUUCAAAGAGCUGGAAUAACCAGCGGCUCCGACAGCCGCGUGGCGCUGUCCAUGGCGCUGACCGUGGUCUGGUCUGUGGGUUGACCGUCAUGGGGGCUAAAUUAAAAAAACAACAUUGUGAUAAACUAGGAAGCUGCAGUUUCUAAUACACAAACAUUAACAAUAAGCCUUUGUGUCCAUGCAGUCAGUGAACCAUCCAAGAUUUCUCCAUACAGAAUAAUAUUACAGACGUCUUAAAAAUGUUAUAUGAGAUUUCGUUACCAUGGUUCGUUAUCAGUUCACGAGUAGGAAUAUUGUAAACUUUCCAGCCUCUACCGAGCAUGUGCAUGCCUCUUACUAAUAGAGAGGCGCAUCUCUAGAGACAUUUACGGCUCACGCAGCAGCACUGUUGGUCGGUCAGCAGAAGAUUUUCAGGACCAUGGACAGCGACAGAGUCCAGAUACUUUGUCACAGAGCAAAUUGGUCUACUUUCGAUGAAUAAGAAUAACAAAGAUCAGAUUUUCAAAUGUAGUUCAGAGCUGCACUUUGAUAACUGUUAAUAGAAGUAGGGCCUAACUGGUAGUGACACGGACAAAAAUAUGACACAGGAACAAGUCCAAGUCUGUGGUAACUUCUGGUGACACUUGAGUGGCAACUUUUGUACUUGCACACUCACAUUGCUCCUUUCCCUUUCAUCCUCGCCUAUUUAGAUUCCUUUAGGAGAAAAAUAGUUCACAUGAAAACACACAUAUCCCU